AGAGUUUGAUCCUGGCUCAGGAUGAACGCUAGCGGCAGGCUUAACACAUGCAAGUCGAGGGGCAGCGGGGAGGAAGCUUGCUUUCUCCGCCGGCGACCGGCGCACGGGUGAGUAACACGUAUGCAACCUGCCCCUGUCAGGGGGACAACCCGCCGAAAGGCGGGCUAAACCCGCGUACAUGCCACCGGGGCAUCCCGGAGGCAGGAAAGGCUUCGGCCGGACAGGGAUGGGCAUGCGGCGCAUUAGGCAGUAGGCGGGGUAACGGCCCACCUAACCGACGAUGCGUAGGGGUUCUGAGAGGAAGGUCCCCCACACUGGUACUGAGACACGGACCAGACUCCUACGGGAGGCAGCAGUGAGGAAUAUUGGUCAAUGGUCGGGAGACUGAACCAGCCAAGCCGCGUGAGGGAGGAAGGUACAGAGUAUCGUAAACCUCUUUUGUCAGGGAACAAAGGCGGGGACGUGUCCCCGGAUGAGUGUACCUGAAGAAAAAGCAUCGGCUAACUCCGUGCCAGCAGCCGCGGUAAUACGGAGGAUGCGAGCGUUAUCCGGAUUUAUUGGGUUUAAAGGGUGCGCAGGCGGUCUGUUAAGUCAGCGGUCAAAGCCCGGGGCUCAACCCCGGCCCGCCGUUGAAACUGGCAGUCUCGAGUUGGAGAGAAGUAUGCGGAAUGCGCGGUGUAGCGGUGAAAUGCAUAGAUAUCGCGCAGAACUCCGAUUGCGAAGGCAGCAUGCCGGCUCCACACUGACGCUGAGGCACGAAAGCGUGGGUAUCGAACAGGAUUAGAUACCCUGGUAGUCCACGCAGUAAACGAUGAAUGCUGGCUGUCCGGGGGGACUGACCCCUGGGUGGCGAAGCGAAAGCGAUAAGCAUUCCACCUGGGGAGUACGCCGGCAACGGUGAAACUCAAAGGAAUUGACGGGGGCCCGCACAAGCGGAGGAACAUGUGGUUUAAUUCGAUGAUACGCGAGGAACCUUACCCGGGCUCAAACGGGGAGUGGCGCAGGCAGAGACGCCUGUUUCCCACGGGACACUCCCCGAGGUGCUGCAUGGUUGUCGUCAGCUCGUGCCGUGAGGUGUCGGCUUAAGUGCCAUAACGAGCGCAACCCCCGCGUGCAGUUGCUAACAGUCAACGCUGAGGACUCUGCACGGACUGCCGGCGCAAGCUGCGAGGAAGGCGGGGAUGACGUCAAAUCAGCACGGCCCUUACGUCCGGGGCGACACACGUGUUACAAUGGCAGGUACAGAGAGAAGCCAUCCCGCGAGGGAGAGCGGAACUACAAAGCCUGUCUCAGUUCGGAUUGGAGUCUGCAACCCGACUCCAUGAAGCUGGAUUCGCUAGUAAUCGCGCAUCAGCCACGGCGCGGUGAAUACGUUCCCGGGCCUUGCACACACCGCCCGUCA
rnacentral:rRNA from 1 species